GCGGUCGUAGUUCAAUGGUAGAGCACCAGCUUCCCAAGCUGGGUGUUGCGGGUUCGAGUCCCGUCGACCGCUCCA
rnacentral:tRNA from 3 species